CAUGUACUCCCUCCAUCUGAAUAUACUUGUCGUCAAAAUGAAUAAAACAUAAUGUACCUAGAUGUAUUUUAGUUUUAGAUACAUCGUUUUUUGUCCAUUUUGAUGAUAAGUAUUUAUGGACGGAGGAAGUACUCC
rfam:Triticum aestivum genome assembly, contig: Triticum_aestivum_CS42_TGACv1_scaffold_577124_7BL